rnacentral:rRNA from 1 species
GGCGGACGGGUGAGUAACACGUGGGCAACCUGCCUCAUAGAGGGGAAUAGCCUUCCGAAAGGAAGAUUAAUACCGCAUAAGAUUGUAGCUUCGCAUGAAGUAGCAAUUAAAGGAGCAAUCCGCUAUGAGAUGGGCCCGCGGCGCAUUAGCUAGUUGGUGAGGUAACGGCUCACCAAGGCGACGAUGCGUAGCCGACCUGAGAGGGUGAUCGGCCACAUUGGGACUGAGACACGGCCCAGACUCCUACGGGAGGCAGCAGUGGGGAAUAUUGCACAAUGGGGAAACCCUGAUGCAGCAACGCCGCGUGAGUGAUGACGGCCU